UUGCUGCUUUGCUGACGAGUGGCGGACGGGUGAGUAAUGUCUGGGAAACUGCCUGAUGGAGGGGGAUAACUACUGGAAACGGUAGCUAAUACCGCAUAACGUCGCAAGACCAAAGAGGGGGACCUUCGGGCCUCUUGCCAUCGGAUGUGCCCAGAUGGGAUUAGCUAGUAGGUGGGGUAAAGGCUCACCUAGGCGACGAUCCCUAGCUGGUCUGAGAGGAUGACCAGCCACACUGGAACUGAGACACGGUCCAGACUCCUACGGGAGGCAGCAGUGGGGAAUAUUGCACAAUGGGCGCAAGCCUGAUGCAGCCAUGCCGCGUGUAUGAAGAAGGCCUUCGGGUUGUAAAGUACUUUCAGCGGGGAGGAAGGGAGUAAAGUUAAUACCUUUGCUCAUUGACGUUACCCGCAGAAGAAGCACCGGCUAACUCCGUGCCAGCAGCCGCGGUAAUACGGAGGGUGCAAGCGUUAAUCGGAAUUACUGGGCGUAAAGCGCACGCAGGCGGUUUGUUAAGUCAGAUGUGAAAUCCCCGGGCUCAACCUGGGAACUGCAUCUGAUACUGGCAAGCUUGAGUCUCGUAGAGGGGGGUAGAAUUCCAGGUGUAGCGGUGAAAUGCGUAGAGAUCUGGAGGAAUACCGGUGGCGAAGGC
rnacentral:rRNA from 1 species